AUGCUGGGGACCCUCUGCACUCUCAUCACUGCUCUUACAUGUGUGAUUGGUGUGACGGUGGUGACACAGAAGCCUCCUGUUGUGACGCUGAGGAAAGGAGAGACAGUCACCAUGGACUGUAACCUGGGAGCUGUUACUGACAGUGGUGCUCGCUGGUAUAAACAGAUUCCAGGAGGAGUUCCUCAGUAUGUUCUGAGAUUUUAUCACAGCUCGAGCUCUCCAAGCUAUGGUUCUGGUUUCUCUUCUCCUAAAUUCACAUCUAAUCAUCAGUCAACAUCAGAUUAUCGACUGAUCAUCAACAACGUGGAGGAGGGAGACGCAGCAGUCUAUUUUUGUGCUACAUGGGACGACUCUGCUAAGGAGGUUGUAUCACAGUGA